GUUAGGAAUAUUGGACAAUGGGCGCAAGCCUGAUCCAGCCAUGCCGCGUGAGUGAUGAAGGCCUUCGGGUUGUAAAGCUCUUUAGUCCACGAAUAUAAUGACUGUAGUGGAAGAAUAAGCCCCGGCUAACUUCGUGCCAGCAGCCGCGGUAAUACGAAGGGGGCGAGCGUUAUUCGGAAUCACUGGGCGUAAAGCGUGCGUAGGCUGUUUUGUAAGUCAGAAGUGAAAGCCCAGGGCUGAACCCUGGAAUUGCUUUUGAAACUACAAGACUCGAAUUCGGGAGAGGAUAGCGGAAUUGUCAGUGUAGCAGUGAAAUGCGUAGAUAUUGACAGGAACACCAGUGGCGCAAGCGGCUAUCUGGACCGAUAUUGACGCUGAGGCACGAAAGCGUGGGGAGCAAACAGGAUUAGAAACCCUGGUAGUCC
rnacentral:rRNA from 1 species